UACGGAGGGGACUAGCGUUGUUCGGAAUUACUGGGCGUAAAGCGCACGUAGGCGGAUUUGUAAGCCAGGGGUGAAAUCCCGGGGCUCAACCCCGGAACUGCCUUUGAUACUGCAAAUCUCGAGUCCGGAAGAGGUGAGUGGAAUUCCUAGUGUAGAGGUGAAAUUCGUAGAUAUUAGGAAGAACACCAGUGGCGAAGGCGGCUCACUGGUCCGGUACUGACGCUGAGGUGCGAAAGCGUGGGGAGCAAACAGG
rnacentral:rRNA from 1 species